UAUUACGACAAUAACAUGAUGUACGGCCUUGUCAACGUAAACAUUAGCAUGCUUUUGUUUAUGUACGAUUUAUGGAUUGUUAUCAUUCGCACGGCAGCAUUCAAACGCACAAUUUCCCUAGACUCUUUUUUAAUACGCACAGCCAAGAUAUCUGAUGCUUUAUUAAAAAUUAUUAGCAAGUCAUCAAUAAGUCGGCGAACAAGCGUGCUCGACAUGAAAUGGAUGAUGACAAGCAAAAGUAUCGUUGCUGCGUAAUCUCGAUGGCACUUUUCGUUCAGACAUCCUAAUGUCAAAAGAGCGGCUGGAGGUAGAGGAAUGUGAGGGGACACGUCCGGUAAUCGCCAUCGUCCUAAUUCAUCGCACCAGGUUGCCGCCGCUCUCACUGCCGCGAUAUCUCGAAAGGGACAUCCUGGACGAAGAUAAGUGCUCGUUCGAUGAAUCCUCGCAUGGUGAACGAUUUUCCGCAGCCAGUUUGUCCAUAAGCAAACACGGUACCAUUAUAACCCUCCAGCACAGCCUCGACAAUGACUGAGCCCACAUUUUCGUAAACCGAUUCCGUUGUAGCGGAUGGGC